GGCCUUGUGGCGCAAUGGUAGCGCGUCAGAUUCCAGCUUCUGCAGGAAUGUCCUGAAGGUUUCCCGUUCGAGUCGGGACAGGGUCA